rnacentral:rRNA from 1 species
UACAGAGGGGGCAAGCGUUGUUCGGAAUUACUGGGCGUAAAGGGCGCGUAGGCGGCCUGUUAAGUCGAACGUGAAAUCCCUCGGCUUAACCGGGGAACUGCGUCUGAUACUGGAUGGCUUGAGUGUGGGAGAGGAAUGCGGAAUUCCAGGUGUAGCGGUGAAAUGCGUAGAUAUCUGGAGGAACACCGGUGGCGAAGGCGGCAUUCUGGACCAUUACUGACGCUGAGGAGCGAAAGCCAGGGGAGCAAACGGG